rnacentral:rRNA from 1 species
GACAAACGCUGGCGGCGUGCCUAAAACAUGCAAGUCGAACGAUCACUUCGGUGGUAGUGGCGGACGGCUGAGUAACACGUGGGUAACCUACCCGGGCGUGGGGAAUAACCCGCCGAAAGGCGGGCUAAUACCGCAUACGAUCCGGUUCUUUCGGGAGUCGGAGGAAGGCAGUGAUGCGCGCUCGGCUGGGCCUGCGGCCGAUUAGCUAGUUGGUGGGGUAAGGGCCUACCAAGGCGAUGAUCGGUAGCUGGUCUGAGAGGAUGAUCAGCCAGACUGGGACUGUGACACGGCCCAGACUCCUACGGGAGGCAGCAGUUAGGAGUCUUGGGCAAUGGGCGGAAGCCUGACCCAGCAACGCCGCGUGGGUGACGAAGGCCUUCGGGUCGUAAAGCCCUUUUCCCGGGGACGAUGAUGACGGUACCCGGGGGAUAAGCCCCGGCUAACUACGUGCCAGCCGCCGCCGUAAAAC